UACGUAGGGUGCGAGCGUUGUCCGGAAUUAUUGGGCGUAAAGAGCUUGUAGGCGGUUUGUCGCGUCUGCUGUGAAAAUCCGGGGCUCAACCCCGGACUUGCAGUGGGUACGGGCAGACUAGAGUGUGGCAGGGGAGACUGGAAUUCCUGGUGUAGCGGUGAAAUGCGCAGAUAUCAGGAGGAACACCGGUGGCGAAGGCGGGUCUCUGGGCCGAUACUGACGCUGAGGAGCGAAAGCGUGGGGAGCGAACAGG
rnacentral:rRNA from 1 species